UCCACUAACCCUAGCUCUGGAAAUUGCUGUUUCAUCAAUGGCAGAAGAUCCUGAACUCCACCUAGGUACAAGGUUGUGAAAGAAGCAAUAACUGUCCGGUUUCCGGUGACCGGAGAUGUAACGCUUCUCAAGAAGAGUCUGAGCAGAAGAUUCUCGUCGACCUUGUCGGCGAUGUACUGCCACCUGUGCACUAGCUGGGUUGCGUUUUGUUCGGAAGUUCUUGUGACGUUGAAAACCGUCAAGGUUUCCGGGACGGUGACUAGGUUUACUUUAAAGGCGAGGACAAUCCCGAAGCUAGUACCUCCGCCGCCUCUUAUGGCCCAGAACAGAUCCUCCCCCAUUGACCGGCGGUUCAAGAUUUG
rnacentral:lncRNA from 1 species